CACACCGCCCGUCACAUCACGAAAGUGGGCUGUACUAGAAGCCGGUGGGCUAACCGCAAGGAAGCAGCCGUCCAAGGUAUAACUCAUGAUUGGGGUG
rnacentral:rRNA from 1 species